CGGAAAAGAUUGGGGACCGCUGCUCUACGGGAACAUUAUCUUAAACUUUUUCAUUUCGGAAAUGAAACAGCUCCUCCCUUCACCGCCACCUUGGCUAUUUCUGGGACCAAAGGAAUCCUUGAAGCUGACCGGGCAGGAGAGUCCACGCUGGGAGUAAAAUCACUACAAAGCCCUUUUCUUAAAGCCCAAGGUCUCUGAAGCUGCACUUGAUUGGUUGGAUACUGUAUUAGACCAUUCCCACGCUGCUAAUAAAAACAUACCUGAGACUGGGUAAUUUAUAAAGGAAAGAGGUUUAAUUGACUCACAGUUUAGCAUGGCCGGGGAGGCCUCAGGAAACUUACAAUCAUGGCGGAAGGGAAAGCAAACGCGUUCUUCUUUACAUGGGGGCAGGAAGGAGGAGUGCUGAGCAGAGAGGGGAAAAGCCCCUUAUAAAACUGUCAAAUGAGAACUCAUUCACUAUCACAAGAACAGCAUGAGGGUAACAGCCCCCAUGACUAAAUUACUGUGAAAAUUGAUAUACCCUUCCAAGGAGAGAGGGCCUAAGCUGCCACUGAACAGUGUCCAUCAGAAGGCCCCUGCUGAGUAGUUGGCAGGGUGGCUGCACAUAAUGGAAAGCACAUAAGCUUGAAGCCAGACAGAUGGGAGUUCUAACCCCAGCCCUGCCACUUAUUCCCAGGUGACACUGGUUAUGAACAAAGCUACUGGAAAUGUCUGAGUGGAAGUUUUUGUGUGGAUGUAAGUUUUCGGCUCCUUUGGAUAAAUACCAAGGAGCAUGCGGUGGAAAUUAGGCCAAAAUAAAUACUACUUUCUGCUUAAAAAAAUGCAGUGAUGUCCAAAGAGAAGGGAGGAGGAAGGAUGAAAGGAAAGACAGAGGAGGAAGGAAGAGAAGAAAGAAGAGUGGCCGGCACAAGGGCUUGGAGAUCCCUGAAGCUGUUUUCCUUUCUCCUCACCCCCACAGGGAGGGAUCCACAUCGUUGUGGGGUUUUUGUUGUUGUUGUUUUUGUUUUUGUUUUUUUGCCUCCCUUCAUCAAAGCAUUCAUUGUAGUGUAUGGUAAUUGUCUCUGAAUGUAACAGCCUCUCUUCCCUGAGGCCUGGGUCUGCUUGUUUCAUACCAUCUUCUCCUUAACACACAGUG
rnacentral:lncRNA from 1 species